AGCGGGAUCAGCUGCAUUGUGGGAAGCCCUAGGCCGCAGGCCCGACAACUACCAUGGCGACCAACAUCGAGGAGAUCUUCCGCUCGUUCGUGGUGAAGAAGAUCAAGGAGAUCGAGGACGAGAAGCACCAGAGUGGAAAGGUGAGCAAUGAAGCAAAUGGUGAAAUUAAAACGGAGAUGGAGCCGAAGGAGUCUGAAGUUGUGGUUGCUACCACAGAGGACACACAGGAAGAGCAGAUUGUAAACAAUAAUGAAAAUGCAUUAUCUAGCUUGGAUGAAAAGCAAAGUGAUAAUCCUGAUAAUAAAGAGAAUAUGACUGUAGACAGCAUAACAACAGAACCAGUUAAUUGCCCGGCGUUGGAUAACAAAGAAGAUAGUUCAACUCCAUCAAAAAAAAGCAAAAAACAUAAACAUAAGCAUCACCACAAGAGUAAGAAGAAAAAGAAAAAGAAGAAGAAAAAAGAUGACAAGAAAAGAGACCGCGAAAGGUCUCGGUCAAAAUCUCAGAUAAGUCUGAAGUCAGAGCCUGACUUAAAAUUAGAAUCGCAAUCAAAAUCACACUCCAAAUCGCCGCUGCGCACUGAAUGUGGUAACGAAGAGAGUAAAAAUUGCUCCCUUUUGAUGGAAUCGGGCAGCACUGAAUUAAAUAAAAAUACAUUAGAAACAAUUGAUGUGAAUACGGUUGAACCAAUAGGAGUUGAGAAAGAGUGCUCAGUGGCUGAAAUUAAGCCAUUGCCACAGGAAAAAUGUAACAUAGAUGAAAAUGCAAAAGAGAACAUUGCUGAUGACACAAAUAAUGGUAUUGAAUGUGCUACUACUGGAAAUGUUCCUGAAUUAUUGGCUGCAGUAUCAGCUUGUGAUCAGGACGAGGCAAAUAGAUUGAUCCCUGAUAGAAGUUCAGACAAUUUACAGUCAAGAUCUACUCAGACUAUUGAAGAUAAAAAUAAACAUGAACAAUCUGAAGGAAAGAGAGCGAAACGAAGUCGGUCAAGAUCUCCGUCAAAAUCAAUAAAACAUCACAAAUCGCAGCCGCAUUCCCACUCUCAACAUUCUCCUGUAAAGAAAUCAUGUGCCAGCUCCAUUACUAGACGACAUACAUCACAGAGUUCAUCUUCCAGGAAAAGGCCAUCGCCAACUCGACAGAGAUCAAAAUCAACUUCAAGGGAAAGGAAAAAACACACAGAAUCAUCCCCAAAGUCCAAAAGGAAAUCAUCUAGAUCUCGUUCUAUCGCAAAAAAAGAACAACGGUCAAAAUCGAAAUCUCGUUCACCUUUACGGAUACGCCAUAAAUCAAGAUCAAACUCUAUAACAAGGUCCAAAGGCCAGUCAAAAUCACGACGCUAUUCUAGAUCUUGCUCACGUUCAAAACGCAGGAGUAGGACUAGAUCAGGUUCUCCCCGGCGAUCAAAAUCUGGAGUAAAACGAUCACGUUCGCCAAGACCCAGGUCAAGGUCCAAUGAGCGGGUAGUUCGUCCAUCAGCUUCGAGAGGAUACCUUAGUAGACUUGUGAGGACACGGAGGUCACCUGAUUGGCGAAGGAGAUCCAGAUCUCCUUUGAGGAGAAAAAGUAACAGUAGAACGCCUGAACGUCUCACUGAUUUGGAUAAAGCACAGUUGCUAGAGAUAGCAAAAGCCAAUGCUGCAGCCAUGUGUGCCAAAGCUGGAAUGCCUCUGCCAGCAAACUUGAAACCUGUUGUGCCUCUUAUUAAAAAAGUGAUCUCCAAAAAAAUGGGUUGUUCAUCAAUACAAGAAUUCACAGAGAAAUGCAAGAAAAUAGUGGAAAGCAAUGAUGAUAACGAAUCGGGUAGCAAACCUCGUGCCCCUCCAGAGGAUGAACCAUUCAGUAAUCAACCAAUUAAAGUUAAUGAACUGAAACCCAUUUCUUUCAGCUUGAAUAAUGCCACAGUGAAACCAGCUGCAAAAACCCAGGUGGCUUUGACUAAGGAGUUUCCAGUUUCCUCUGGUUCACAGCACAGGAAGAAGGAGGUGCUGAAUGUUUAUGGACAAUGGGUUCCUGUGGAAAAAAGUAGUAAAGAAACCACUGAUGAUGAUGUCUUUCCAGAUGUCUGUACUGAGGCCGUGGAUAUCUCUACAACAAUGACUGAGAGGUCAACAGCACAGAAACGCCUUGUUAAGAAUCCAUACGAUGUGGAGGCAAUGUCAAUGAUACUCAGGACACAGGAACAGAUUGAUGUGUGGGCUCAGGCAAACUCUCUGCCUGGUCAGUUCACAGGUAGUACUGGAGCUCAAGUCUUGACCUAUGAGGAAUUAACACAUAGUGGUCCUCAAGCCUGGAUCAGGAAGCAGGUGCAAAAGCAGGACGGAACCCUGGGCGACAUUGGCUGGGGUUUGUAUCAUUCUCUGCAUGGUUGCCUCUUUCUUUUCUGAGGUUCCUCGAAAAACAGGGUAAGAAGGAAACGGAAGUAAGUAAAAACCAUCCAGGUUUUUGGGAUGAGUCUCCUGGUAUUCCACAUCAUUGGUUUAUUUGAAGCGUUACUCUAUGCUGUUUAGACAGUUUCUGCAUGUGUUCCAGUACGUCGUUAAAGAAAGAAAACUUUUAAGUUUCAAAGAUGUUUCUGAUUAAUUGUAAUGAACUUUGAAUUCUAUGGUUUGCUUAAAACAAUAAUUGAAGACAGCAGUAUGAAAACAGUUAAAGUCUUAAUUAAAUAACCUACUAAACUAAUUGAAUUCUAUAUAUUAACUAUAAUUUUCUUAAUCUCAGUCCUUUAUGAAUCUGAUGCUUUAUAUUCACGAUUCAACAUACAUUUGGCGCUCAUGCAUGAGUUGUUUUAAAUUUAAAAACAAUGACUGUACUAAAAUAACUUGUAUUUGCAUGGUUUAACAUUUUAAUUAGAUUUUAUAGUUUUACUUUUUCCAAAAAUAAAGCCUAACAGUAAAUGUGUUUACUGUGAUAUCACAUUUUGUCAGUGGGUAACCUCAAAACUCUGGGGUUUCUUUACAGCUGAACACGGCUGCUGAUUAAAAGUUAAAAUAGCUUUUUUUUGCCACUUUAGCUAUGAUGAUUUAUUUAAUUCUGGGUGGAUUACUAACUACAGAUAUUUAAUAUAUUCAUGAGCAAAAUACCUUUUAAUAAUAGUCCAGAGUAGCACCUCGAUAUUCAGGUCAAUGGUACAAUUAUCUUCCCCUUUUUUUUUUUAAGUGGAUGCAAUAUAAUGAAACUUAUAUUGCCUGUAAUAUUACAUGGUUUGCCUCAUUAUCACACUUUAAUAACCAUUAACUAUUAAAUUGACCAUGCAAAUCGUAUAACUAUUAGCAUUUGACUGCUGGAUCGGGUUUCCCCAUAGGGUAUUAAUAGUCACUUAUCCCUACAAAAUUUGACAUUUUGUUGAGCUAUGAUAUUCAACAAUGGCUGGUGUUGAGUUGGCAGAGAGAGUGAGGAGGGACAAAGGGAAGCGAUGGUUCAUAACUGAGCUGAAAACUUCCCCUUCUCCGUAGACUAGUUAAAUCCUUUUAGCUGCCUUGUUGCCGUGUGCAGUCUCAAUGGAGGCCUAGCUGUGUACACUUUUUCCUUGGCUUUCAAAUGCAUAGCUUUCAUCUGCACUCCAAAUAUCUAAACAGCAGGCAUAGCAAAUUAUACGCUAGCCCUCUUCAACCGUUUGCAAUGUAUUCAAACUCCAUAUAUCGGCCUUUUCCCCCAUAUUUAUAAUUAACAUUUGAUUGAAGGUCAAUUGUUAUUUGUAGAAUACAAUUUAAACUGUCACAGGUAGUAAGUAAUUCACUUUUGUUUCAUGGGAUGGAUCUUUGCAGAAUUUCUAUCAAAAAUGUCUUCCCAUUUUCCUAUACUCUAUACCAAGCCUGUUAUGAUUGUGCAUCUCUGUAUGAAUGAAGUCUGGAGCAAACAGUCCAGGUAAUCCUCCCCAAUCCUCCCAUGUUGGAAUAUCACAAAUUUUUAUUUGAGAAUGAUGCUGAGGCAGGGAGAUUUGAAACAUACAUAUCUACACUAAAUAAUGUUUUUCUCCACAAAGUCCUACCUACUGCAAUCUACACAGCUUACUUUGCAUAUCUUAGAUAAUAUUAUUUCUAUAUUUUGUUUUACCAGUGAAAGGAUUUUUUUUUUUGUUACAGAGCAUGGAUUAAGGGCUAAAUCACCGGAUAGUAUUGAAAUUACGGACGGCCUAAGCUUAGAUGAAUUAUGCCAGCUUCACUUUCUGCAGCUUUCUAUUGCAUUUGAUUCACACUCACCAAAUGUUCAGUUUUGCACCCUUUACGAUGCACUCCAUUUAUGACCAGUCUGUCAGCAGAAACUGCUUUUAAACUCUUUAUAUGCAUCCAAGUUACAAGUAUUAACCUAGCUUCCUACUUAUUUUAAUUUGUUCCUUUUCAGCCACUGUGUGUCCCUUUAGUCGCAACUAUUCUGCCAGGCCAUUUGGUUAAUUGUUGCCAAGUUUACAUUGUCUUUUACUUUAAUAAUAUUUCAAGUUAAAUACUAAAUAUUAAGUUAAUGUAAUUUUCAAACCAACUUAUCUACUACUUAUUCCCACUCUGACUAAAUUUACAUCCUGCUCAAGGCCCUUCUGCUCAUUUCCAUUUAUGAUCACAACUACACUGUCUUUUUGAAGCAUGUUUCCCGAAAGCUCUUUAAACAGUGAUUUAAUUAUUUACAUUUUUAAUUUGGAUUAUUUGAUUCAUAUUUAAGAUGUGUUGUGUAAUGAUGCAUUCAGAAAAUUCAGAUCUGUAUAGCUGUAAAGAUGACAUUGACAUCUUGGAAGAUUUGUUUUCAUUAAACCUGUCUGCUUACGAACAGGAUCAGUUCCUGAAAGCUGCCCCUUUAACUGGAGGAAUGGGAGCACAAUUGAUGCAAAAAAUGGGAUGGAGAGAAGGAGAAGGACUGGGAAAAAACAAAAAUGGAACGGUAGAGCCUAUAGUUGUUGACUUCAAGACUGACCGUAAAGGUCUGGUAGCAGAAGGAGAGAAAGCACAGAAGAAAUCUGGAAAUUUCCCAGCACUGAAGGACUUAUCAGGAAAACACCCAGUUUCUGCUUUAAUGGAAAUUUGUAACAAGAGAAAAUGGGCCCCACCUGAUUUUUUGAUGAUUCGUGACAGUGGCCCAGAUCAUUGCAAACAUUUUCUAUUUAAG